rnacentral:rRNA from 1 species
CAGUAGCCGCGGUAAUACGAAGGGGGCUAGCGUUGUUCGGAUUUACUGGGCGUAAAGGGCGCGUAGGCGGGCGAAUAAGUCAGGGGUGAAAUCCCAAGGCUCAACCUUGGAACUGCCUUUGAUACUGUUUGUCUUGAGUUCGAGAGAGGUAAGUGGAACUGCGAGUGUAGAGGUGAAAUUCGUAGAUAUUCACAGGAACACCAGUGGCGAAGGCGGCUUACUGGCUCGAAACUGACGCUGAGGCGCGAAAGCGUGGGGAGCAAACAGGAUUAGAUACCCCAGUAGUCCCUGUCUCUUAUAC